AGUCAUUUCAUAGGUGUAAUCCCUUGAUUGACUUAACUUGUUUUUUUAAUUAGGAAGAAGAGCGUGUUCCAUUUACCACCUGGGGAAAGUGUAUACAUAUAAACCUUUGUGCAAGUGCUCUUUUUCUGGCUGCAGAGAUCCCAAGGACCAGACUGACUAUGAGAACAACCUAGCCAUGAAGGUGUUCUUCUUCCAGUUUGUCAACUACUACUCCUCGUGUUUCUACAUCACAUUCUUUAAGGGCAGAUUUGUGACUUAUCCUGGAGAUCUGGUGUAUUGGCUGUGAAAAUACAGAAAUGAAGACGUGUGAAUACAGCUUUGUGUUCUGACAGUCUAACCUGUUUCAUGUUUUCUCUUAGUUGCCCAAUGAAGAGUGUCUUUACUCUCUGUUCCUUAGAUUUUUUUAGGCAUAAAAUAAUGACUUUAUUUCAUGUUAGAGCUAUCUAAAAUUUAAAUGAGAUUUUCUGUCUAAUAUUCCAGUGUGACCCAGGUGGCUGUCUCCUUGAACUGAUGAUGCAGCUGACAAUAAUCAUGGGAGGACAGUCCAUCUGGAAUAACAUACAAGAGGUGUUACUUCCGAGUAAAAGAAGUUAUGUUGUCCUUCCAUCCUUCCACCACUCCAUGUUGUGUGUCCAUUCCUUCAACAGGUAUUCAGUUUGGGUUCACCACAGUAUAUGUGGCCUCUUUCCAGUGGCCCCUCUGUUGGCUCUGGAGAACAAUAUAUUGGAAAUCAGAGUGGGUACGUGGAACCUUGACUACCCAGUAUAGACGUAUGGUGCCAGAAAAAGCCCAGAACAUCUCAGCAUGGCAGCCAACCAUGCAAGGAACAGCAAUUCUGGCUGUGGUGGACCAAUGUGAAUAAAAAGGCUUCAUUGGGUGAAGACUUAGAAAAGUCGAAAAAUGCAUUGGCGUUGCUUCCUACGGAAUCCAGUGUUGGGUACUGUUUAAUAUGAGAGGGAGAUGCUAACACUAUCAUCGUUAUAAACAACAUAGUUGUUGUAACUGUAAUUGUUAUUAUUUUUAAUAUAUUUUCUUUAUAAUUAUUAUUUGUGACUUACAAGACCCUUACAGAGG